rnacentral:rRNA from 1 species
UCAAGCUGUAAAGGGCGCAAGGGGAAUGCCUUGGCACUGAGAGCCGACGAAGGACGCGACAAGCUGCGAUAAGCUACGGGGAGCCGCAAAUGGGCUUUGAUCCGUGGAUUUCCGAAUGGGGAAACCCGAUGGAGCAAUACUCCAUCAACCAUGACUGAAUACAUAGGUCAUGGUGGGGAACCGCCUGAACUGAAACAUCUAAGUAGGGCGAGGAAGAGAAAUCAACCGAGAUUCCGCUAGUAGUGGCGAGCGAACGCGGAAGAGGCCAAACCGGAGGUAGCAAUAUUUCCGGGGUUAGGACUGCAAUAUGUAACUUUAAUCUUUAACUGAAUGCUUUGGGAAGAGCAGCGAUACAGGGUGAUAGCCCCGUAAGUGAAAAGGAUUGAGUGCUAGCAGUAUCCAGAGUACCAGCGGACACGUGAAACCCGCUGGGAAGAUGGGGGGACCAUCCUCCAAGCCUAAAUACUACUCAGUGACCGAUAGUGGAGCAGUACCGUGAGGGAAAGGUGAAAAGUACCCCGGGAGGGGAGUGAAAAAGAACCUGAAACCUUGUGCCUACAAGCACCGAGAGCACGUUAAAGUGUGAUCGGGUACUUUUUGUAGAACGGUCCGGCGAGUUAAUAUUUGCAGCGAGGUUAAGGAACUGGAGUUCCGGAGCCGCAGCGAGAGCGAGUCUGAAUAGGGCGUAUGAAGUUGCAGGUAUUAGACCCGAAACCGGGUGACCUAUCCAUGAGCAGGCUGAAGCGGUGGUAAGACACCGUGGAGGGCCGCACCCACGUCUGUUGAAAAAGCCGGGGAUGACUUGUGGAUAGCGGAGAAAUUCCAAUCGAACUCGGAGAUAGCUGGUUCUCCCCGAAAUAGCUUUAGGGCUAGCGUUAUUUUAGAUUACCGGAGGUAAAGCACUGAAUGGUCUAGGGGCCGCGAGGUUACCAAAGCCUAUCAAACUCUGAAUGCCGGAUAAUUGAUGAAUAGCAGUCAGACUGUGUGAGAUAAGUCUCAUAGUCAAAAGGGAAACAGCCCAGAUCUACAGCUAAGGUCCCAAAUGAACACUAAGUGGAAAAUGAUGUGAAACUGCGAAGACAACCAGGAUGUUGGCUUAGAAGCAGCCACUCAUUCAAAGAGUGCGUAAUAGCUCACUGGUCGAGUGGUUUUGCGCAGAAAAUGUAACGGGGCUAAGUGUUCAACCGAAGCUUAGGCAUUGCAGUAAUGCAUUGGGUAGGGGAGCGUCGUAUGCGGGGCGAAGUCAGAGCGGAAGCACUGGUGGACUGCAUACGAGUGAGAAUGCCGGAAUAAGUAGCGAGAAUUAUGUGAGAAUCAUAAUGGCCGAAAAUCUAAGGUUUCUUGGGGAAGGUUCGUCCGCCCAAGGUUAGUCGGGAGCUAAGCUCAGGCCGAAAGGCGUAGGCGAUGCACAUACGGUAGAAAUUCCGUAACCACCGAACAUUUAAGCUAGAGGGACGCUUUCUUUAAGGUUAUCCCGGGCGAUGGUUGCCCCGGGCGUAAGGGACCGAAAUAUAGUAGGGAAGUAACUGGCGAGAGAGACGAGAAAAGCUCUAGUGUAUACUAAGGUGCCCGUACCGCAAACCGACACAGGUAGAUGGGAUGAGUAUUCUAAGGCCAACGGGAGAAGGGUUGUUAAGGAACUCGGCAAAUUGGCCCCGUAACUUCGGGAUAAGGGGCGCCUGCGAGAGCAGGCCGCAGUGAAAAGGCCCAAGCGACUGUUUAGCAAAAACACAGCUCUCUGCUAAAUCGAAAGAUGACGUAUAGGGGGUGACGCCUGCCCGGUGCUGGAAGGUUAAGGGGAGUGCUUAGCGCAAGCGAAGGUGCGAACUUAAGCCCCAGUAAACGGCGGCCGUAACUAUAACGGUCCUAAGGUAGCGAAAUUCCUUGUCAGGUAAGUUCUG